GGACAGCUGGCCGAGUGGUCGAAGGCGCACGCCUGGAACGCGUGUAAAGGGCAACCUUUCUAGGGUUCGAAUCCCUAGCUGUCCGCCA
rnacentral:tRNA from 1 species